AUUGAACGCUGGCGGCAGUCCUAACACAUGCAAGUCGAGCGGAGCGGCGUACGGGUGAGUAAUGCCUAUGAAUCUGCCUGGUAGUGGGGGAUAACGUCCGGAAACGGGCGCUAAUACCGCAUACUAUCAGAUGAGCCUAGGUCGGAUUAGCUGGUUGGUUGGGUAAAGGCCUACAAAGGCGACGAUCCGUAACUGGUCUGAGAGGAUGAUCAGUCAAACUGGAACUGAGACAUGGGCCAUGUUACUAAGGGAUGAAGGAGUGGGGAAUGUUGGACAAUGUGCGAAAGCCUGAUCAAGCGAUGCGGGGUGUUCGAAGAAGGUCUUCGGAUUGUAAAGCAAUUUAAGUUGGGAUGCGUUACCAACCGAAUAAGCACCGGCGCACUUCGUGCCAGCAGCCGCGGUAAUUC
rnacentral:rRNA from 1 species